CAUGUACUUCCUCCGUCCAAUAUUACUUGUCAUAGGAUUGGAUGAUUCUAGACAUAUUUUAGUUCUAUAUACAUUCAUUUUUUUUAGUUUGGUGACAAGUAAUUUCGAACAGAGGGAGUAUAUG
rnacentral:pre_miRNA from 2 species